UAAUAUUAAAUUUUUGAUAGAUUUUUAUUGAAUAUCAUAAAAAUCUAUCAAAAGGUUCAAUAGUUUUUAAGUUAGUUAGGUAGAUUAAGCCGCCAUAUCUCACGAGGGAUAUACUGUAUAUGGCAGCGGCCACUUAUAGAGCCCAAAACAGGCUGGUCAACACGAUGAUGGAGUCAACCGGAUGGCUGAAGAAUGGGAUUCAACGGACCGGACACGAACUCUUCCUGAAAAACUGAAGGUUAGGACCCAUAUUUGAACCUGGACUCCUGGGUGGUAAGCCAUAGCUUUACCAUGCAUCCAUCCGGCCGAAUCAAUAGUUAUUAGAGAUCUCAUUAACCGUCAUUUUUAAAUGGAUGAAAAUAUACGGUUAAUCAAUUUUAUUUCAAAGCCUGCUUUUAUAAUCUGACCAUCCUAAUGAAUUUCGUGAAACUCAAUUGAGUAGAUGAAAAAUUUUUAAUAAGAAACAUUUGAAGAAGUCGACUGGAUGGCCGCGGCGGAAACAUACUAUACUUCCACCGCGAAAGACUGGGCUCAAUUCCCGAUCUCCAAUCUCGAGAUUUUUUCAGGAAGGAUCUGGGCUGGCUCGUUGAAUUCCUCCUUGCAUCUGACAGCUGACCUCACCAAGAGAUGGAACGCUGUGGUAGGAAUGGAAAUAUCUCGCAGUUUGAUGUACACUGUAUGGAAGUUAGUGUAAAAUCAUGAUCGAAUUUUUGGAAUUUUCUGUCACCAAAUAUACUCAGUUAGAUUCAUUUCAAUUUCGCCGUCAAAUAACAUAUGGGAUAAACUUUUACUGUCAACAAUGAAGCCAUUUCCACUCACUUGUCAGUAAAAGUACUAAACAUGGCAUUAAGUGACUGGGCGAAACAAGUCCUUCCAGAGAGUUCCCUAUGGAGAAGUCAGCCGGAUUGUAAAAGACGGGAAUCGUACAGAGAGAUUUUGCCCAAUCAUAAAUUUUACAAAUAGUAGUUUCUAUUAAGGUUUUUUUUUUGCAUAUUUUACGCCCCUUUCCAAUCAGAAAGAUUACUAAGAGGCGGGGCCAGU
rnacentral:lncRNA from 1 species